rnacentral:rRNA from 1 species
GACGAACCGUGCGAACGUUAUUCGGAAUCACUGGGCUUAAAGCGCGUGUAGGCGGCCUGGAGCGUCAGCAGCUGAAAUCCCCCGGCUCAACCGGGGAACGGGCUCUGAAACGUCCAGGCUAGAGGGGGGUAGGGGGAGCCGGAACUCACGGUGGAGCGGUGAAAUGCGUUGAGAUCGUGAGGAACGCCCGUGGCGAAAGCGGGCUCCUGGACCCCACCUGACGCUGAGGAACGAAAGCGUGGGGAGCGAACAGG